rnacentral:rRNA from 1 species
UACAGAGGUGGCAAGCGUUGUUCGGAAUUACUGGGCGUAAAGGGCGCGUAGGCGGUCUUUUAAGUCUUGUGUGAAAUCCCUCGGCUCAACUGAGGAACUGCACGGGAUACUGGAAGACUUGAGUUCGGGAGAGGGAAGCGGAAUUCCGGGUGUAGCGGUGAAAUGCGUAGAGAUGUGGAGGAACACCGAUGGCGAAGGCAGCCUCCUGGGCCAGCACUGACGCUCAUGCACGAAAGCGUGGGGAGCAAACAGG